AGAACGAACGCUGGCGGCAUGCCUAACACAUGCAAGUCGAACGCUCACCGGGCUUCGGUUCGGUGGGAGUGGCGCACGGGUGAGUAGCGCGUGGGAACCUGCCCUGUUGUGGGGGAUAACCGAGGGAAACUUCGGCUAAUACCGCAUGCGCCCGGGGAAACCCGGGGAAAGAUUUAUCGCAGCAGGAGGGGCCCGCGUCGGAUUAGGUAGUUGGUAGGGUAACGGCCUACCAAGCCUUUGAUCCGUAGCUGGUCUGAGAGGAUGAUCAGCCACACUGGGACUGAGACACGGCCCAGACUCCUACGGGAGGCAGCAGUGGGAAUAUUGGACAAUGGGCGCAAGCCUGAUCCAGCAAUGCCGCGUGAGUGAUGAAGGCCUUAGGGUUGUAAAGCUCUUUCGCCCGCGACGAUGAUGACGGUAGCGGGAGAAGGAAGCCCCGGCUAACUUCGUGCCAGCAGCCGC
rnacentral:rRNA from 1 species